AUACCGGAUAAUAUUUUGAACCGCAUGGUUCAAAAGUGAAAGACGGUCUUGCUGUCACUUAUAGAUGGAUCCGCGCUGCAUUAGCUAGUUGGUAAGGUAACGGCUUACCAAGGCAACGAUGCAUAGCCGACCUGAGAGGGUGAUCGGCCACACUGGAACUGAGACACGGUCCAGACUCCUACGGGAGGCAGCAGUAGGGAAUCUUCCGCAAUGGGCGAAAGCCUGACGGAGCAACGCCGCGUGAGUGAUGAAGGUCUUCGGAUCGUAAAACUCUGUUAUUAGGGAA
rnacentral:rRNA from 1 species